CUCUGAAUUAACAAGAACCUCUUCUUUCUUGUUCUGAGAAAUUUCUGCCUGGUUAUACCCUUUAUCUUCUACUGAAGACCAUAUACCUAGUAAGACAUUCAGGAAGGCUAUUUGUUUAGCAAAGUGGCAGAAAAAAAGCCAACACAGCUGUGCAUAGUGAGAUCACUACAUUUGUCUCACUGGGUUUGAAUUCUCUUACUAUAGGCACCUCCCUUCUGUGCAAUGUUUCUCAGAGAAAAACAAUCAAAGCAAACUAAAAACUAUUUGUGAAGAUCAGUCCAAUUGCAUAUAAAAAUCUAGCAAUAAACUAAUAAUCAACUUUGGAAUUGACCGUAGAGUUUAUACAUUUUUUGCAUAGCUACUAUUCCUGAUGGACCGUCCAGCCCAACAAUCAAGUUGACGAGAACCAGAGAAAAUUAACUACUACAUGAAAAUUUAAUCCAAAUCCUCCCCAUAUCACAGCAACAACAGUGAAGAUUAUUAACUACUGGAAAAUUCACCAAGCAUAUGAAUUAAUUUCAAAGAAUCAAAGAAUGGCAGGGUUGGAAGGGACCUCAAGAAACAAGAGAGUCCAACCCCCCUGCUAAAGCAGGUACCCUACAGUAGAUUGUAUGGCUACCUGUGCGACCAAGUCUUGAAUAUCUCUAUAGAAGGAGAUGACACAACCUCUCUGGGCAACCUGUUCCAAUUUUUUUUUUUUUAGUAUAAAAAUGCAGUUAUUUUUCCUCUCCACUUCAAGCACAACAUAAGAUCAUACUGUUCUGACUUAGUCCUGUAUGAGAAUGACAUAGUAGAUAUAGAAGAGGGCAAUUUUUAGAUUCUGACUUACCACAACUCAGUAGCUUGGUAUACUUAAUCCUUGAUUAUUUGUAAAGCAAGUUCUGAAGCAGCUGCCAACAAGUACUUAACUCAUCUCUCUCAGUAUAUCCAUGAUUUCACGGUGAAGGUGCAGGAAUUACUUAUUUUUGAUUUGAUAUUACUUAUUUAUUCAUUUGGGGCACCACUUAAUAUCUAACGCCCCCUAGUGGCUGCAAGCAAGCAUCCCAAGUAGAAAAAAUGCUGCAGCAGACAGUUAAUAAGAAACAAUUUAAAAAGUUCUCCCAUCACAGAAAACGGGGACCUCUUGCCUACAGGCUUGUCAACUCGUAGCUCAAGCCUAGUGAGCUUUGUUUUAUACAUCAGGCUCGAGUUGGUUUUAGUAUCAGCAGCUUCAUUUUGUUAGCUACCUGCAGCCUUAUUGGCAGCAGCUUUAGCUACUUAACUCCUUUUCUAA
rnacentral:lncRNA from 1 species